rnacentral:rRNA from 1 species
UACGGGGGGGGCAAGCGUUGUUCGGAAUUACUGGGCGUAAAGGGCUCGUAGGCGGCCAACUAAGUCAGACGUGAAAUCCCUCGGCUUAACCGAGGAAGUGCAUCCGAAACUGAGCAGCUAGAGUACGAAAGAGGGUCGCGGAAUUCCCGGUGUAGAGGUGAAAUUCGUAGAUAUCGGGAGGAACACCGGUGGCGAAGGCGGCGACCUGGGUCGAGACUGACGCUGAGGCGCGAAAGCGUGGGGAGCAAACAGG